GAAGGUAUAGCUCAGUCAUAGAGCACAUGCUUAGCAUGCACGAGGUCCUGGUUCAAUUCCCAGUACCUCCA
rnacentral:tRNA from 1 species